rnacentral:rRNA from 1 species
GACAGAGGGUGCAAACGUUGUUCGGAUUUACUGGGCGUAAAGCGCGCGUAGGCGGCCGCUUAAGUCGGAUGUGAAAGCCCCUGGCUCAACUGGGGAAGUGCACCCGAAACUGAGUGGCUUGAGUACUAAAGAGGGUCGCGGAAUUCCCGGUGUAGAGGUGAAAUUCGUAGAUAUCGGGAGGAACACCGGUGGCGAAGGCGGCGACCUGGGUAGAUACUGACGCUGAGGCGCGAAAGCGUGGGGAGCAAACAGG